rnacentral:rRNA from 1 species
UACUGUUUAUCCGCAUGGAUUUAUAGUUAAAGAUUUAUUGGUAAUAGAUGAUCAUGCGUUCUAUUAGUUAGUUGGUAAGGUAACGGCUUACCAAGACAGCGAUAGAUAGGGGCCCUGAGAGGGGGAUCCCCCACACUGGUACUGAGACACGGACCAGACUCCUACGGGAGGCAGCAGUGAGGAAUAUUGGACAAUGGUGGAGACACUGAUCCAGCCAUGCCGCGUGUAGGAAGACUGCCCUAUGGGUUGUAAACUACUUUUAUAGAGGAAGAAACGCAGAUACGUGUAUUUGUUUGACGGUACUCUACGAAUAAGGAUCGGCUAACUCCGUGCCAGCAGCCGCGGUAAUACGGAGGAUCCAAGCGUUAUCCGGAAUCAUUGGGUUUAAAGGGUCCGCAGGCGGUUGUUUAAGUCAGAGGUGAAAGUUUGCAGCUCAACUGUAAAAUUGCCUUUGAUACUGAAUAACUUGAGUUAUAAUGAAGUGGUUAGAAUAUGUAGUGUAGCGGUGAAAUGCAUAGAUAUUACAUAGAAUACCGAUUGCGAAGGCAGAUCACUAAUUAUAUACUGACGCUGAGGGACGAAAGCGUGGGGAGCGAACAGGAUUAGAUACCCUGGUAGUCCACGCCGUAAACGAUGGUCACUAGCUGUUUGGAUUUCGGUCUGAGUGGCUAAGCGAAAGUGAUAAGUGACCCACCUGGGGAGUAC